AUUUAUAUUAUUUCAAUUAAUUAAACGGCUGUUCUCAGAAGCAAAGCAAGGUUUGGUCUGGAUAGUCCUUGUAUGGGAGACCAUCUGAGACUUCAAGGUAGAACAAAUA
ensembl:rRNA 5S_rRNA 5S ribosomal RNA